CUGGCCUCAACCGUCUGUAUGACAUAUAUAUCUUAUAUCUGUAUAUAUAAUACUAUAUUGCACGUUAGGCUUAAUAAACCUUGAAUGUACAUGAUGUAUUUUCACAUGAGGAAUUGAACAUUAAUAGUAUCACUUUCGAGCCGCCAGCACACACUCAAUGAGUUUGAUUCGAAAUACAUACAUGUAUGAAUGAAAUAAAAUAUAACAAUACAUGAACAUGAUUAAAAUAUUGAUAACUCACAGGUCUAUUAAUACAUUAAAAUGUAUACACAUACUUGUAGAAUUUCGAGCAGGCAAAUCCUGACCUCAAAGUCAAUACCAUUUCUUAACAAUAUACUACUUUUAAUGGUUUAUUUAGACAAUAACUGAUCAUGAAAAAUAAUCAAAAUGGCGACUAGGCAUAUCCUAACAUCACCUUCUGACUUAAUAUUUGACUAGUGAACAUCAGCCAUUACAUGCGAAUAGAUUCAAUUCUAAUAUAUCUUUGCAAAGCAUUUGAAUUCCAGCGACCCAACUUUUGAAUUAAUUGCUCAGAAUAGCCUAGGCUGGCAGCAUUAGUUGCUGCACCUAUACGAAAGCUGUGUCCCUUGUAUUGAGUAGGAUUUAAACCUAUAAAAGUAAUUAACUUUUUCAUCUGUUCUGCCACAAAGUGUGCAGAUACAUAUUGCCCAUUGGUAUGUUGAAAUAAUGGGCCCGUAUUAUGCUUGAAAGUGUUCACAAAAGCAUAUAAUGUAUUCACAGGACAAAUUCUAGGGGAGCUUGGCAAUGCUGACAAGAAAAUUGUUACUGGUUUGUUAGUUUUGUUAUUUUUAAAAAACCUUAGUGUUAAUUCAACACCCUUUAAUAUGCCCUUUUCCCAAGUAAACAAAAUAUCUUGACGCUGAAGUACUCUCCCUAUAGACUGUUUUGAUCUUACAACAAGCUCUCCAAGCCUAAAAAAGCCAUUAAAUGCUACCAAAAUAUAGUUUUUAGUAAAAGUUGAUGAACAUGGAGUCUGACUACUGAUGGUAAGUUUAUGAUCAUCUUGUCAAGGAUUGCUUUUUGUAAUUGGUAGUCUUGCAUCUGCAGAUGGGGUUAGAUUUUCACAACCUUUCAAAGCUUUGCGAAUAAUGAAUAAAGCUGUAGGGUCCUGAAUGUUUAACAUUUUAUGUACAUAACUUAAAGCAGAAAAUAUGUGAUGCUAUUGUAGCAGGUUUUAAACCUUUAGUGAACAAAUUGCCUAUAAAGUUAGCAACUUGAGCUAGCUGAAGCGGCAGAGAGAUCUGUUGGUGACCAGGAAUUCAAUUAACUUUUGCCAUGUUUUUUGGUAUGAAGCUUUGGUAGAGGGUGUCAAGGCUGAAUUUAUUAAAUGUUUGGCUUCAUCAGUCAAAUCUCCAACAAAUGUUGGGGAACAAGUAUUGGACUUUGUUCCAACCAUGGUGCUGCCUUCAGUGCUUUCUGAAAUUGUAAACGUGAAAGGCUAUCAGCUAUAAUAUUUGUUUUACCCGGAAUGUGUUUAGCUUUGAAUAGAAUGUUGUAUUUUAAGGCAACAGCAACCAGACGCCGAACUAGUUUCAUUAAGAUUAUG
rnacentral:lncRNA from 1 species